GAGUGAUAUGAUGGCAUACCAUCUUUCGGGACUGACUCUUACAAUGGAGAUUUCUUUUGUAUUACUGAUCACUU